rnacentral:rRNA from 1 species
GAUGAACGCUGGCGGCGUGCCUAAUACAUGCAAGUCGAGCGAACGGACGAGAAGCUUGCUUCUCUGAUGUUAGCGGCGGACGGGUGAGUAACACGUGGAUAACCUACCUAUAAGACUGGGAUAACUUCGGGAAACCGGAGCUAAUACCGGAUAAUAUUUUGAACCGCAUGGUUCAAAAGUGAAAGACGGUCUUGCUGUCACUUAUAGAUGGAUCCGCGCUGCAUUAGCUAGUUGGUAAGGUAACGGCUUACCAAGGCAACGAUGCAUAGCCGACCUGAGAGGGUGAUCGGCCACACUGGAACUGAGACACGGUCCAGACUCCUACGGGAGGCAGCAGUAGGGAAUCUUCCGCAAUGGGCGAAAGCCUGAAGGAGCAACGCCGCGUGAGUGAUGAAGGUCUUCGGAUCGUAAAACUCUGUUAUUAGGGAAGAACAUAUGUGUAAGUAACUGUGCACAUCUUGACGGUGCCUAAUCAGAAAGCCACGGCUAACUACGUG